AAUNCCCCUKCUUAACACAUGCAAGUCGAGCGGURGGCGUASMAAUACGCUGAGAGCGGCGGACUGGUGAGUAACGCGUGGAUGAUCUACCGUUAGGGCAUGGGGAUAGCCAUUAGAAAUAGUGGGUAAUACCGAAUACGUUUACACAGGUGAAGCUGUGUAAAGAAAGGAUCCUACGGGGUCGGCCUAAUGAUGAGUCUGCGUCCCAUUAGCUAGUUGGUGAGGUAAAGGCCCACCAAGGCGACGAUGGGUAGCCGGCCUGAGAGGGUGAACGGCCACACUGGAACUGAGACACGGUCCAGACUCCUACGGGAGGCAGCAGUGGGGGAUAUUGCGCAAUGGGCGAAAGCCUGACGCAGCGACGCCGCGUGAGGGAAGAAGGUCUUCGGAUUGUAAACCUCUGUCUGAUGGGACGAAAUAAAUGACGGUACCAUCAGAGGAAGCCCCGGCUAACUACGUCCAGCAGCCGCGGUAAUAC
rnacentral:rRNA from 1 species